AUUAGAUCUCAAAUCAGGUAGGACUACCCGCUGAACUUAA
rnacentral:rRNA from 1 species